rnacentral:rRNA from 1 species
AGAGGGGUGCAAGCGUUAAUCGGAAUUACUGGGCGUAAAGCGCACGUAGGUGGAAUAUUAAGUUGGGUUGUGAAAGCCCCGGGCUUAACCUGGGAUGGUCAUCCAAAACUGGUAUUCUAGAGUAUGGUAGAGGGAAGUGGAAUUUCCGGUGUAGCGGUGAAAUGUGUAGAUAUCGGAAGGAACACCAGUGGCGAAGGCGGCUUCCUGGACUAAUACUGACACUGAGGUGCGAAAGUGUGGGUAGCAAACAGGAUUAGAUACCCUGGUAGUCCACGCCGUAAACGAUGAGAACUAGCUGUUGGUGAUAUAUAAAUCAUUAGUGGCGCAGCUAACGCGUUAAGUUCUCCGCCUGGGGAGUACGGCCGCAAGGUUA